GUCGGUACGCCGUCGCCAUUUUGUUGAAAAAAAACGAGUGAAAGCGGUGGAAGCGUGUUCGAAUGCUGUGCAUUUUUCUUUAGUGCCUAAUUUGUAAAUUCUUUUUUCAUCAAUUUGUAAUUUAACAUCAAUUUAGUAGUUUAGUUAUAUUGUUUAAGUGAUUUAGCAGUGUAGUUUUAAGCUAAAAUAUAUAUAUUUUAAACUAAGUAUAAGAGUAUAAGCUGAUUUUGAUAAGGUCAUACGAUGACCCCCCCAACGAAGGAGGCGUUAGAGAGAAUGCGCCGGGCCAAACUUAUUUUUUUACGAAAAAAGCAGGCGCUAAAUCAGACAUGCCAUCUCGACUCGAUCGGAACAGCGGGCGGGAAGAAAGCGAUCCCGUAGUUAUACAAUCUGUCAAUGCUACCUGGAAUCGUCCACACUGACAAGCCGAGAGUUCACGAAGCACGUUGAAAUCAAUGAAAAGUCAUUUCAGCAGCCGAUCUUGGAGAAAUCAAAAGAGAUUAUUUCGAAAAAGCGGGAAAGAGCGAAAAAGUGGCGUGACAAAAAAGCACAAGGAAAGAAGCCUGUGAAAACCGGACAAACAACAGUUGGAAAUCGAGCAGGUCCAACUGAGUCUGCAUCGAUCCUCGGAGAUCAGCGCCAUACCGAUCAAUUAAAUAUCGUCACGUCUGUAUGCAUCGAGAAUGACAUGGAAACACAGCAACGUUCGGACGAUACUAAACAGCCAGCACACUCCCUACCGACCCCCACAAGCCCAGUUGCGGAGGUUCGUGAAACCGAGAGCUUGCAUCGUGGGCGACAUCAAAAUUACCGUUCCCGCAAGAUGAUCGAGAAGGAUUUGUUGUAGCCAUUGAUAUCGACCGAGAGAAUAAUAAGUUCAGACUUGUAGUAUCUUCGAAAAACUGUUAUCUAUUGUAGAACAGUUCUCCGUUAUAUCUGCCGAUUGCACGUUCAAAGUGACAAUGGAGGGGUACCCGCUCUUAGUGAUCUGUGUAAUUGAUGCAAUGAGACAUGUGCAUCCAAUUGCUUUCGCAAUUUUGUCCAACCAGGAGACAACAGACUACCUAUUUGUAUUCCGCGCGAUAGUGGAACGAUGUAGGAGUUUGGGAUUGAAUAUUAGAAUCGAUACUUUUAUGAGCGAUGGCGAGCUGGCUUUGAAGAAUGCAGCUAGGGCGGCUUUCGGGGAAACAAUCAAUAUAUUGAAUUGCUAUUUCCAUGUGUGCGAAAAUGUCACAAAGUUCUUUAAAAAUUAUCUGAAGUACCAGCCGAAAAACAAAAGGAAAUACGCAAGGACAUGUGCGUGCUGCAAGCGGCGCCAACCGAUCGUCAUUUUCAGGUUGCCAGCAAGUUGUUUCAAGAAAAAUAUCGAUGCUUUGCCCAAUUCACGAACUUCUUCGAAAAAUAUGUCCUAAACCCAAACCAUGCCAAAUGGUUGGAGUCGGCGGCACCGGGUAUGCAUGCAACAAACAAUGCGUUAGAGGCUCUAAAUAAAUCAAUUAAGUAUAACUUUUCAAAACGCCACAAAGAGCCAUUCGGAAAUUUUAAAGAACGCAUAAUGGAUAUAAUCGAAGCUUAUGGCGAUCCCGAUCGAAUAAUUGCACGAGAAAGGAGUUUUAAACUGAGUGAUCAACGGAAGGCAUUUGAUUGGCUCCAACAGGGGAAAAAAAUUCGAACUACACAUAAUCUGGAUCAAAGGAGGUCGUACGUCUUUGUACCAGGAAACGGAAAACAUGAUGUGACUUCACAAGAUAUCGAUGGGUUCAACAACCCAAAAUUCGAGCAUUUUGACCAAUAUGCUUCGACAUUCGGGCAGUUGCAUAGCGUUGAAACCACCAACGAAGAUUACAAAAAAUGGAAUUGUACUUGCUACUAUUUUUUUAAAACUAAUGUCUGUUUGCAUAUUUUGGUAGUCGCUGUUAGAAAACUAAAAUUCGUCCUACCGGCAGAGGCAGACACGACACUCAUGAGUCGUAAAAAAGCGACAGGCAGACCAAAAAUAUCAACUUUAGCGUUAGUGAAAGAUUGAGCAGUCGGAUGUAUAUGUAGGGGGCAGCAGGGACUAUGUCCAAGGGCUUGACGACCCCUCCCCAGGUUACUGCGAGUUGUGGGGCUAGCUAAAAAUGUAGUGUGAUUUAACAGUGGGCUCUGAUCAACAUCUAUAAAAAGCUGCAUGUAACGGGCCCUACUAAAGCGACCUGUGGCUCUCAAAGCGCACUAGCCCAGUCCUGAUGUGGGGUGGGACUUUAAACAGAUCUGUCACGACGAUCCUCCACCGAGCGUCUGUUCACCAAAGAGGUGCGGCUCUCAACAGCGUCUGUUCUCCAUGUCAGGGGCGGCUGAUCAUCGUCCGGUGCCAGCAAGGGACUCUAAACAAAACUGCGCAAUACAGUUCUCCGGAAAUUACAAGCCAGCUUUAAAAUGAAAACAUCGUCGUUGUUCAAUAUAAGGACUACAGCAAAAACAAUUAAUAAGUAAUAAUUUAUCAUAUCAGAUUCAACCAUUGUUAAGCCGCCGAAUUUACACGACCUGUUGCGGCUUGUCCUACGUUGAAUUGAUAAGAUACUAGUAAUUCUGGCUUCGCAAGGCUACCAAACAAUCGAUUCAAACUUGCCGAUCAAAUGUCGAUUUCGAACACCGAGACUAUAGGCUAUUCCAGGUGGUAUGUUGAAUAUUAGAAUGAUAAAAUAGUUAAUUCCCAGUGAAAUUGUUUCAUUGUUUGUAGCCUAAAUAGGCUAUCAGAUAUUCAAUUUAUUUGAAGGUUUUUAUCGUUGAGAAGAAAAAUACUAUAAAUAUACCGAAUAUCAGCAGGUUUUUUACGACUUUAUGGAUUUCUCGAUUUUUGCAAAUUUAUGGUAUUCUUAAUCUUUAUAUCGCACAAUGUGAGUUUUAUCAAACAAGUUACUCAAUACAAGAUAUCAGUAUUUUGAUAUCACUAUAUGAUCCAUACAUCAUGAUAAUAUCAAA